AUUGAACGCUGGCGGCAUGCUUUACACAUGCAAGUCGAACGGUAACAGGCCGCAAGGUGCUGACGAGUGGCGAACGGGUGAGUAAUGCAUCGGAACGUGCCCAGUCGUGGGGGAUAACGCAGCGAAAGCUGCGCUAAUACCGCAUACGAUCUAUGGAUGAAAGCGGGGGACCGAAAGGCCUCGCGCGAUUGGAGCGGCCGAUGUCAGAUUAGGUAGUUGGUGGGGUAAAGGCUCACCAAGCCGACGAUCUGUAGCUGGUCUGAGAGGACGAUCAGCCACACUGGGACUGAGACACGGCCCAGACUCCUACGGGAGGCAGCAGUGGGGAAUUUUGGACAAUGGGCGAAAGCCUGAUCCAGCAAUGCCGCGUGCAGGAUGAAGGCCUUCGGGUUGUAAACUGCUUUUGUACGGAACGAAAAGCUUCGGGUUAAUACCCUGGAGUCAUGACGGUACCGUAAGAAUAAGCACCGGCUAACUACGUGCCAGCCGCCGCAGUAACAC
rnacentral:rRNA from 1 species